rnacentral:tRNA from 1 species
GUCAGGGUAGCAAAGUGGACAAUGCAAUCGAUUUAGGAUCUAUUAUCGGGAGUUCGAUUCUCCUUCCUGGUU